AAAAUAUUCGUGCUACCCACUCCCGUGUAGUUAGUCAAAAUUCUCUGGAGCAGUUAUUGUCUUGAUCUCUUCGAAGGCUUCUUCUUCUCAUGGGAGUAGCCAGCCUUAUGGGCAGUGAAAUCCUCAUUUCUGCAUGUUAUUUUUUCUCCUUUUUUUAAUGAAUAAUUAGUUCUCUCUUCACAAUGAUUUGAUUUUUGGUGCAGUUUAUCAAAAGACCUGAUGAUUCUUCAUUGAGGCGCUAUAGAGCAAUAAUUUUGUAGAUGUUGAUCUUUUCAAGUAGAGUGUGUUUGGAUGAAAUGAGGGCAAAGACAAUGGAGAGAUUUGUUAUUCAGUGAAUAUAAUGGGUUAGAGAGAUUUAUGUGCUCCUCCUAUGUCAGCCUAGCGAAAUUCUUGUCUAGAUUGAUCCACCAUGAACCCCAAGAUCCGUUAGGCUACUAUAACAAAUGCAGCUUUAGUUACUUUUUGACUUGUUUAUGAUUCACUUUCAUUUUGAGGAUCUGAUUUUCAGGAUCAACCAAUAUAUUUUUCAUUUAUUCUGCAAUUUGUAUGCGCAGUAGCCAGUUGAUGGUUAAAGGCAGAUAACAAAUCAAGCUAUUUAUCUUGACGAGCACCUUUUAUUAUUUGGAACUAGAAGAUGGAAGUUGAAAAUCAAAUUUACCAAUCAUAAGUUACAGUCAUUUCAACCCUCAAGUGUAUACAAUACAAAUGUUUGGCUGCAGGCAAACGAGGGAAAUGAUCUUCUAAAGCAAAUGAUUUUUAAAAGAGGAACUCCACAAAACCAUGGAUAUUGCAUUUCUCUACUUGUGCAACAGAUUCAUAUACGUACAAUCAUCGCAUAAGAAUCAGUAUGGAGGUGGUGGGUAUAUUCCGGAUGACGAAGGCGGUGGAGGGUAUACUCCUGCAACGGAUCAUUAGACAUUAAACAAGAGCAUUUCGUAGACAUUAGCCUGAUGAAUUGAAAUAUAUCAUUAGAAAAAGUAAUGCAGGAACAUCAAGCCAAGAUGUACCUGCAGGAGGAUAGUACGUUGAGGCUUGUGGAGGAAGCGGGUAUGUUUGUUGAGGAUAACCUGCAGGAGGACAUGGCUGUGGAGGAUAGCCAGCAGGGGGCGUUGCAAGGUAUGUGGAUGGCAGAUAUGUUGCAGGGUUAGGAGGGUACCCCGUGUAAGGUGAUGAGAUAGAGUAGAAUGUUGUGGCAGGGUAAUGAGCAGCAGGUGCUGGCGGCAACUGAUCAUAUGGUAGGACCUGGCUCAUUGCACCUUGUUGUGCUGCAUAUUGUGGCCCUGAUGUAGCCAAUUUUGAUUUAUGUUGCUGUGGAGAUCCAACAAGAGCUUACUCAGGAUUCAUUUGUUGACAUUCUUUUAGUCCUUAAACAUAAAUUACCAUGGUAAAGACAGUAUACUGGGGAGUGAAAUUACAUUACUGGCAUUUGAGUAGUGCAAUAUAAGUCGAACUUCUCCUGAAUGUCUGCAUUGAAACGAACGUAUCAGAACUCAAAGGAAGUGUAGGAAUCACAUGAUUGAAAAAUGACACAGGUUUAUCUCAGUUUUCUGUUUAAUUAACCUGCCAGACUUGCUCUGUAGCGGCCAGGAAGCAUCAUCAUAGCCUUGUGAAAGGGCUUUCUGGAGCUGAAUCGUGGAAAUCAGUAAGCGGGACGCUAAUCAUUAGGUCUAACAUAGAUGAAAUGCAAGGAAAAGAAAAAUAUUUCAUUUUGUUUUCAGUUUUUGAGGACAAAAAUAACCUUCCAGUGCCGAUAUGUUCAUCAGCAGAGAGAGUGCGGCUGUUCCACACAGAAACAUUCAGUUCUCUCAGACCUUCAAUGAGUGUGAAAAUGUACUUCUCUUGAAAAGUGGGGUUCUUGCCUCCAUCUAAAAGAUCAGUUUUGUAAACCCAAAUAAGAUCUUCCUUUUAAGUGGAUGA
rnacentral:misc_RNA from 1 species